rnacentral:ncRNA from 2 species
AGAAAGUGUGCCUAGGGUUCCACACCGCUAAGUGGCGGUGGUUCGGUCCAAGCGGUACAGGCAGCACCGGGUGAUUACCAUGUGCGGCUACACCGGUCGGGAUAAAAGCCCAGGCGGG